rnacentral:rRNA from 1 species
AGGACGAACGCUGGCGGCGUGCUUAACACAUGCAAGUCGAGCGGAAAGGCCCUUCGGGGUACUCGAGCGGCGAACGGGUGAGUAACACGUGAGUAAUCUGCCCUUAGCUCUGGGAUAGCUCCGGGAAACCGGGAUUAAUACCAGAUACGACCACUUUAGACAUCUGCCGUGGUGGAAAGAAUUUCGGCUAAGGAUGAGCUCGCGGCCUAUCAGCUUGUUGGUGGGGUAACGGCCUACCAAGGCGACGACGGGUAGCCGGCCUGAGAGGGCGACCGGCCACACUGGGACUGAGACACGGUCCAGACUCCUACGGGAGGCAGCAGUGGGGAAUAUUGCGCAAUGGGCGAAAGCCUGACGCAGCGACGCCGCGUGGGGGAUGAAGGCCUUCGGGUUGUAAACCCCUUUCAGCAGGGACGAAGCGAAAGUGACGGUACCUGCAGAAGAAGCGCCGGCUAACUACGUGCCAGCAGCCGC